CGCGUAGGCGGUCAGCACAAGUCAGUUGUGAAAUCUCCGGGCUUAACUCGGAAAGGUCAACUGAUACUGUGCGACUAGAGUGCGGAAGGGGCAACUGGAAUUCUCGGUGUAGCGGUGAAAUGCGUAGAUAUCGAGAGGAACACCUGCGGCGAAGGCGGGUUGCUGGGCCGACACUGACGCUGAUGCGCGAAAGCCAGGGAGCGAACG
rnacentral:rRNA from 1 species